rnacentral:rRNA from 1 species
CCUACGGGUGGCAGCAGUGGGGAAUAUUGCACAAUGGGCGAAAGCCUGAUGCAGCAACGCCGCGUGAAGGAAGAAGGGUUUCGGCUCGUAAACCUCUAUCAACAGGGACGAAAGAAACGAUGGCACAUGAAUAAGACGCUCCGGCUAACUACGCGCCAGCAGCCGCGGUAAUACGUAGGGGGCAAGCGUUAUACGGACUUACUGGGUGUAAAGGGUGAGUAUGCGGCAUGGUAAGCCAGAUGUGAAAGCCUUGGGCUUAACCCGAGGAUUGCAUUUGAAACUAUCAAGCUAGAGUGCAGGAGAGGAAAGCGGAAUUCCUAGUGUAGCGGUGAAAUGCGUAGAUAUUAGGAGGAACACCAGUGGCGAAGGCGGCUUUCUGGACUGAAACUGACGCUGAGGCGCGAAAGCGUGGGGAGCGAACAGGAUUAGAUACCCCUGUAGUC